rnacentral:tRNA from 1 species
UUUUAUAUAGUUUAAAAUCAAAAAACAUUAUAAUUUCAAUAUAAAAAUAAUAUAUCUAAUAUUUAUAAAUA